GACGAACGCUGGCGGCGUGCUUAACACAUGCAAGUCGAACGGUAAGGCCCUUCGGGGUACACGAGUGGCGAACGGGUGAGUAACACGUGGGUGAUCUGCCCUGCACUUCGGGAUAAGCCUGGGAAACUGGGUCUAAUACCGGAUAGGACCACUGCCUGCAUGGGUGGUGGUGGAAAGCUUUUGCGGUGUGGGAUGGGCCCGCGGCCUAUCAGCUUGUUGGUGGGGUGAUGGCCUACCAAGGCGACGAGGGGUAGCCGGCCUGAGAGGGUGACCGGCCACACUGGGACUGAGAUACGGACCAGACUCCUACGGGAGGCAGCAGUGGGGAAUAUUGCACAAUGGGCGCAAGCCUGAUGCAGCGACGCCGCGUGAGGGAUGACGGCCUUCGGGUUGUAAACCUCUUUCAGCACCGACGAAGCGCAAGUGACGGUAGGUGCAGAAGAAGGACCGGCCAACUACGUGCCAGCAGCCGCCGUAA
rnacentral:rRNA from 1 species